GGUGGGUGCUAGUUGUGGGCCACAUUCCACGUGGUCUGUGACGAAGUUAACACAUUAAGCACCCCGCCUGGGGAGUACGGUCGCAAGACUAAAACUCAAAGGAAUUGACGGGGGCCCGCACAAGCGGCGGAGCAUGCGGAUUAAUUCGAUGCAACGCGAAGAACCUUACCAAGACUUGACAUAUAGAGGAAAAGCGUAGAAAUACGCUCCCCGCAAGGUCUCUAUACAGGUGGUGCAUGGUUGUCGUCAGCUCGUGUCGUGAGAUGUUGGGUUAAGUCCCGCAACGAGCGCAACCCUCGUCCUAUGUUGCCAGCACGUAAUGGUGGGAACUCAUGGGAGACUGCCGGGGUCAACUCGGAGGAAGGUGGGGAUGACGUCAAAUCAUCAUGCCCCUUAUGUCUUGGGCUUCACGCAUGCUACAAUGGCCGAUACAAAGGGCUGCAAUACCGCAAGGUGGAGCGAAUCCCAUAAAGUCGGUCUCAGUUCGGAUUGGGGUCUGCAACUCGACCCCAUGAAGUCGGAGUCGCUAGUAAUCGUAGAUCAGCAACGCUACGGUGAUACGUUCCCGGGCCUUGUACACACCGCCCGUCAAGUCACGAAAGUCGUAACACC
rnacentral:rRNA from 1 species